ACAAGCGUCCCAGCUUCCCAGCCCUACUGACUGAAGUUAGCCAGCAGACCAACUAAUUGGCCUGAAACUCACAGUCAUUGUGGAAAUAAGGCCUAGCCUUUGAAAAUGGAUCAGUGUUCUGCCCACGGCUCAUCCUAUCAGCGGUGACAGCACCUCUCUGGAGAUGUGAUGUUCAGCUGCUUAUUGAAGUUUUCAGGAUCUAAGCAUCACGGCGUUUAUUGUUCAUCCUCGCUGGCUCUGAAGAGAACAACCUGACAGGCUAUUUCAGAGAAAUUCUGAAGUUCAAAGUUCAAGGAGCUGGAUUGCCACGCAAAUCUCGACACUUGUCAAGGUGCAGAUGAUGGUUCCACAGCCUCUAACGAUAGUGCGUGUGGUUUACUGAAGAAUGGAUGAAAAAUAUUUGAGAGUAGAUGACCCCAGCAGGAAGAGUGAGCAGCUGCCUGCUACAUCAGUUCAAAGCCCUCCUUCUGUGCUGUAAUUUCUAUGUUUCAAUGAAUACUGGAUGUUGUAUUUCAAUUUUGUUGUUCUGAUGACAUCAUCAACCAUGAGAGCACAGCUUGAGUAGUUUAUGAAUAUAAGCACAGUCGAGAUUAAAUUACAUUCCUUAUAUCUUUUCACAGCAUGCUAUUUUAUGAAACUAUAUAACAAAAACCACUAACUAAUACCAUUAUGACUGCGCUGUGACCGCAUCAGCAGUUGGGACAUUAAUAGCAGUGAAUUACUAUUCAAAUACUCACAGCUAAACUAGCAAAUGAUAAAGAUGCUUUAAAAAUCAGAAGAACAUGAACUACUCUGAUGAAUGGUUAGACUGCAGUUUACAAAAUGGUUGAUAGGACUUCAGUGUAGUUAUCAUUAGAAAUGCCUAACAUUUAAAUAUGAAAUGUUAGUUUUUGAAAAGAUAAACAUUAAAAGAGAGCAAAGCAGACUUAGUAUGUGGUGGUUCUUUUGAGUGAUCGAUGUUUCUCUCUCAUACAUGCUGCAUGACUUGAUAAAUAUUUCCAGCAGUUUUUGAUUUAGACUUUUUACAUCUGUGUUUGAAACAUUUUCACAAGAUGUUUCACUCUAUAGCUCUAGGAAUGUUCUAUUUUUAAGUUUAAUUGCCUAUAGUUCGCUGAGCUACAUACAUACCUUACUUUGCCUCUUUUUUAAAUCACAGUUUUUAAAAAAAAAAUACCGCUUUUUAGUGAAUAUUUCUGAUGAUUAUGCAAUUUAUGGCUUGUAUUUAUUUAAGCAAGGGAUUAUUUUAUAAUAAAUGAUUUGAAAGCUUUGUGCGAUCAGAAACGUGAGUCCUUUUCCAUCUAUAAUUUUGAAUAACGCACCUGAUUGCUGCCAAAAAGAUUGUACUGUUUCUUCUUUAAAAACAAUAUAGGAGAGAGGUGAAGGCGAAUGGAAACACCAGUGAGCUGUAAAGGUACACAAACGUGUUAUUGACACAAAAGGUAAUGGACAGGUAUGUAAUAGGAUGGAGCCAGCCUCUGGAAAAAACAUGAAAUAUGAAAAUUAAAGAUAAAGAAAGUAACAAGCAUCUUAGAACCAUAUGUAGUCAGAUCUGUGGUUCCAUUGUAUAAUAUUGCUCAGCCAAAAAAUUAGAAUUGUAAUCUCACAUAAUAUUAGAAUACACUAAAGUCUAUAAGUGAUAUGCAGUGUGAGAAAAUAGUGAAUUGUAUGAAAAUUGAGAAAAAUUAAUUUGACGGGAUGUCACAGAGAAAAGUUGUUGCAGGGACACGCUGUGGCUGCAUUUCUGCCAGUGAACAAAUGAAUAAGAUUAAUAAAUAAAUUCAGUGAGCAGUGGGUAGUGGUACAGAAGUCUGAGAAUCAUCAUUAUACAACUUUGCCUCUCCUGCACGUAUAUGUUUUGUAUCAAUUAGAGAGUUGCUCAUGUCUAAUACAGUAUAUGUUACAAAUAGUUCUUUUCCUAAUUUAAAAACACACUUAUUGACAAUUUCCCAUAUCAUUUUGGGUGAAUUCCACCAAUACAGUUUGUGAUAACAAAAGCUGAAAUAGUAUUUAAUUCCUGCCUAACAGUACAUUAAAUUCAUCCAAUGAAAUAUCAUUAACUGAAGUAUAAUUCAUGCAGAUUUCUGGAAGUGCACCAUAAAUGGAAACAUCUGUUAGUACUUUUUCAAAAUCGAACAUAAACAUGUAAGCUUGAUAAACUAUUAACAAUUUGUUAUCCAUGUUGCAUAUUGCU